GACGAACGCUGGCGGCGUGCUUAACACAUGCAAGUCGAACGGGCCCGCUCUCUUUUUUGGGGGUGGGUUGAGUGGCGAACGGGUGAGUAUCACGUGAGUAACCUGCCCCCUGCUCCUGGAUAACUGCUUGAAAGGGCGGCUAAUACGGGGUGUGCCGGCUGGUCCGCAUGGGCCUGGUCGGGAUAGUUUCAUCUUCGGGUGUUUCGGUGGGGGAUGGGCUCGCUGCCUAUCAGCUUGUUGGUGGGGUGAUGGCCCACCAAGGCGGUGACGGGUAGCCGGCCUGGGAGGGUGGGCGGCCACACUGGGACUGAGACACGGCCCAGACUCCUGCGGGAGGCAGCAGUGGGGGGUAUUGCACAAUGGGCGGAAGCCUGAUGCAGCGACGCCGCGUGAGGGAUGGAGGCCUUCGGGUUGUGAACCUCUUUCUCCGGUGGUGAAGGCCCUGUCCGUUGCGGCGGGGUUGACGGUAGCCGGGUAUGAAGCGCCGGCUAACUACGUG
rnacentral:rRNA from 1 species